UGACUGCUGCACUCGCGUUUGGAGUAUCAAAUGUAGUCAACUUCUGUCUGAAAAUAAAUUAUCUGACAGUGUCCCUUCAAUUGUGUGUUGGUCUUCUGUUGAAGGGCAAAGAGACUUGAAAGGUGGCACUGGUAUUCAACAUGUUUUAAAACACUGCUUAGGAAGAAGGUUGCAAGAGAUUCAUAUUCAAUCGAUACCAGCAGCAACCGUGAUGUUGAGGAUAGAAGGUUCCUUUUUAGCCUUGUAACAGUAGUAGGAGUAGUAGUAGAAUCAGUUGCUUUCAAAUUUUAGAAAGUAGUUUCGCAGUGUAGAAACUCCAGUUUAACAAGUGCUUUGUGGUUACUACUA